CACUGCUAACAGCACUAGCUACACUUAUUUUGUAGCUAACGUGACAAAGCGCUAGGCCAACAGCGCGUAUUUACGAAGAUUUGUAAGUGCGUUGUGAUUUCGACAAAAAUGUCAGUUUUGCAAGGACAGAUUAGCUCCAUUUUGGAGAUAAUGGUUAGCGCGACUGUUACAGAAAUUAGCAAAGUAAUCGAGGGUUCUGCCUCGUCUGAAGUGCCAACAACGGGAGAUAACGCGAGUGAAGCCCCAAACGAACAGAAUGGUCCCACCUGAUCUUUGCUCGUCCUGAUCUUGCCGCCUCCUGACUGCCUUAGAUUUUUGAGGAUAUUUAUUUUCAUUGUUACAGUGGCCACUAGAG
rnacentral:lncRNA from 1 species